AUGCCUCUCCUGCAAGCUGUCAUCUUCUCUUCCCUCUGGGCUUUUGGCUUUGGGCAGUUAAAGUUGGAGCAACAUAAAAUAUCAAUUUCCAGGAUAAGAUAUCAGAGUGUCAUUAUAUCUUGUAAGGUAUUUUCUGCAAAUUUUAAGAAUGAGUACGUACACUGGUACCGACAGAAACCUGGCCAGAAUAUAGAGCAUCUAAUAUAUAUUGUCUCGACAACAACCCUCGCUCAGCAGCAAAUAGGUGGAAGGAAAAAAUUUGAAGCAAGUAAAGACCCUCCUACCUCCACAUCAAAAUUGAGAAUUAAUUAUUUAGAGAAUGAAGAUGAAGCCGUGUACUACUGUGCCUGCUGGCAAUGUGGAAGCGCAGGCUGGAUCAUGUUAUUUGGAGAAGGGACUAAGCUCAUAGUAAUUCCCCCUGAUCAAAAUCUUAAUGCAGACCUUUCACCCAAGUCCACAAUUUUUUUUCCUUCAAUUGCUGAAAUAAAUCUCCAUAAGGCUGGAACAUAUCUUUGUCUUCUUGAGGAAUUUUUCCCUGGUGUUAUUAAGAUAGACUGGAAAGAACAGAAUGGUGGAAUUCUGAAAUCACAGGCAGGAAAUACCACCAAGACUGGAGACACAUACAUGAAGUUCAGCUGGCUGACGGUGCCUGAAAUGUCAAUGGAUAAAGCUCACAUUUGUGUUGUCAAACACGAGUUUAACGGAGGAGGGAAUGACCAAAAGAUUUUCUUUCCUUCAAUAAAUAAAGUCAAGAAGUAUUUAUUGAGCAGCUACCAGGAGACAAACACUGUCCCAGGACCUCUGACUACAAAAGAAACAGAUGGUUUUGAGAUCACCACCCCUGCUGUGAUAAAAAAUGAAAGCAAUACUGAUAGCUAUGCUACAAAAGUUAGUCUGGAAGAUGAAAGUGGGCCACUGAAGCUUCAGCUCACCCAGAGCUCUGCCAUCUACACCUACGCCCUCCUCCUUCUCAAGAGCGUGGUCUACUUUGCCAUCAUCUCCUGCAGGCUGUGCAGGAGAGCAGGAGGCUGCAGCAACGGAAAGAGUCCUUAAUGAUGGUGGCACAAAAGCUUCAGCUUUUGUUAACAUUUAAUGUCUCUGAAAUGUCUGCUGAGGAUCUAGCAGGAUGGGUCUCUCUGGGUUUGGAUUAUUAGAGUUC